CCUACGGGAGGCAGCAGUGAGGAAUAUUGGUCAAUGGACGAGAGUCUGAACCAGCCAAGUAGCGUGAAGGAUGACUGCCCUAUGGGUUGUAAACUUCUUUUAUAUGGGAAUAAAACGUUCCACGUGUGGGAUUUUGUAUGUACCAUAUGAAUAAGGAUCGGCUAACUCCGUGCCAGCAGCCGCGGUAAUACGGAGGAACCGAGCGUUAUCCGGAUUUAUUGGGUUUAAAGGGAGCGUAGGUGGAUUGUUAAGUCAGUUGUGAAAGUUUGCGGCUCAACCGUAAAAUUGCAGUUGAAACUGGCAGUCUUGAGUACAGUAGAGGUGGGCGGAAUUCGUGGUGUAGCGGUGAAAUGCUUAGAUAUCACGAAGAACUCCGAUUGCGAAGGCAGUUCACUGGACUGCAACUGACACUGAGGCUCGAAAGUGUGGGUAUCAAACAGGAUUAGAUACCCUAGUAGUC
rnacentral:rRNA from 1 species